GAUGAAGGCUCUGACAACAGCCACAUGCGUACUGUAAAGGCAUUUCUGUGCCCUCAGCUCUGAAAGGCUCUCUUCUACCUUCCCUGGGACUUUGAUAGCUCAACUGUAAAUACCCAUCGUGGUCCGGGACUCUACAGCUCCUGCAGUGGCAGAACCCAGGAAGGAUUACGUAUAUGAGGAUGUUGAUGUAUUUUAUGCAUGCCAUUAUGUUGACUUUAAUGGCAGAUUAGUGAUUGAGUGAGGACACAUCACAUGCAUGUUCUGUAGGGUGUUAUUCAUACCUGUGAUAGCUAUUAUAGCUAAUUGACAUCUAUUGUAGGGAAUAUAAAUACAGGUAAUACCUAGGGCAUUAUCGAUCCCCGAGACCUGUCGCUGAACCCUUUCAGCAUCAUUGCUAAAGAAAAAGGUUGCCCUUGGAGAUGACAUAUAUUCAGAUCUGAGGUGAAAAUACAUAACGUUUGCAUGUGUGGGUCAGGGACAGCGGGCUGUACUGUCACAGUGGUCAGUGUGGCAGUGGCCAGUCCAGCUGACACCAGUGGGACACCAGUGGGACACCAGCGGGGCCGGCUGACUCUCCAGUGGCAAGAGGAGUUUGGAUCAGGAGCUCUGCUGCUGGUUCAGCCUGGGGCUGUGCUGCAAGGACAGAAAGGGAGCACCCACCAUCCUGUACAAGGGCUGGGAAUGGCAAAGACCUCAGGUAGAAAUAACAUCAACAAGCAGUACUAAAAAUGCUGAGUUUUCUUUGAUGCAUAAUUGUGAAAGAAGGACAGGAGACAUAUGCAGCAGAGAGUAAAAGUGAAGCUUUUGCCAAGAAAGGUCAUUGUCAUCAUGAUGAGCAGGCUCUUUCAACACCCUGAUAUGCCUGUAAAGCCAUCUGUUUUCUGAUUCUUAUUGUUCUGCUACUGCCUGGUUUUGCUUUUUUUCCCCUUAAUGCAAAUAUUUAUGCAUCUCUUAAUAUCUUUUAGCCUAAAAAGCAAAAACCAGUGUGCCAGUGUACUAAGCAAAGGUCCAUAUGAUCACCAGCACGGAUGGAAAACGUUCUGUCAGAGUCUCAAGCGCUCUUAGGAAAGAUGAUUUUACUUCCUUUUAUUCAGAUCAGGACUGACUCAGAUUCUUCACAUCUGUGAGUCUGUAGCAACAAUUCUAUUAAUUUCGAUGUGGUGAGAUUAGCUCUUUGCCGUG